AAGAUGAGAGAAGUGCUACACCUGGUGGAGAGAGAUUGUAAGACAGAAAUAGUUGCUUUAUGCGUGCUGUACGUUACGACAUGACACGUCAAGAUGUAACAGAGGGUCCGUUUUUUCUACUUUUCUCCAAUACUAUACAGCCAUUACCAUGUCGAUCAACGCUUGAAUAGAAACCUAAUUCACACCCCCGAUUUUGAAGUCAACACAGUCGCUACAGUCCCAUUAGUUUUCUUUGUAGCCUCGUUUGAAUAUUGGGCUUACGCACAUUUGUACGGAAUGGGGUGUUUACGUUAGCUAAUUUUCCCCCAACAUCGGACACUCUCUAGAGGUUGGAGGUCUAAAUCACCUCGAGCUCAACAUUUAAAUGAACGACACCCUUCUAGCUAACUGACCACCGAUUUUUAUUGCAAUUUAUGCAAGUUAGGUUUUGAGAGUUUUCAAAAAAGUAAUAUGUAUAUACAUUUUGUGGGACUGUAUAUUGUAAAAUCCGAAUUCGCGACUGACAACACGUAAUUUAUUAAUAUCCAAUUUUUUACCUCUGAAAUAUAGCUGACGGAUUUGCUAACGUUGUUGCUAGCUUGGUUGCUAAAUGUUGAUAGAACUGCUAAGUAAGCAAAAAGGAAAGACAUUUUAAGCUUUAGAUAAUACAUAUCACGUAAACAACGUAAAGUUGUCAAGCUUUACCUUAUGAAAAUUAGAGUCCUCUGGGGCGUUUUGUGCCAUCUGCAAAAAUUAAUUUUGAACUUUGAACCAUUAACUUUUUUGACACCUAUGUUUAAUCUUACAACAGCUAACGUUACAUAGAGGCAGUAUUUAGUCAAGUGUUAUAAUGUAUGCAUCAAUAUUAAACUAACUGGGACAAUAUUCAUUACAGAUAACAUCAAAUAAAAAACGUGGGUACACUUUCAGUUAUGAAAACGUUCAUCAUCUUUCAAUUGCCUAAACUUUGAAAUGUAAAUGUUUAUACAUAUUCAGAUUGAGUUAUCUUUCUAAAAUGUGUAUAGUAUGCCAAGUUAUUUAGCUACAUGUAUUUACCACCACAGCAUGGAGAAAGUCAAGAGGAAGCAGUGGUGAGGUGGACAUGGUCCAUGCAGUGGAGGACUGCGGGGCAGGGACGGCUAUCCGCCAGGCUGCCAAGGUGCAUGGUGUACCUCGGCAGACCCGGGCGGACAAGGCUGAGCGGCAGGGUGACCCAUGGUUGUCCCAGUGGACCACCCACAUCGCUUGCACCAGAGGAUGAAAAUUCUCUGGUGCAGUACUGUAUCUACCAAAAAACAAAACAAACAUUUUCAUUCUGGUUGGAUAAUUUUCUAUUCUAUUGAAAUUUUUGUGACAAGAUAGGGAUGGAGAUCGAGAUUUUAUUAUUUCGUUUGUUUUCAUAUAAAAUGAUUUAUUUGUACAUGUCAAAAAUAUAUAUUUAUUCAACCCAUCUUCCUUUACUUUCCAAGUGCAUCUCUGCAACACAAACUCCAA